rnacentral:rRNA from 1 species
GAUGAACGCUGGCGGCGUGCCUAAUACAUGCAAGUCGAGCGAACAGACGAGGAGCUUGCUCCUCUGACGUUAGCGGCUGACGGGUUAGUAACACGUGGAUAACCUACCUAUAAGACUGGGAUAACUUCGGGAAACCGGAGCUAAUACCGGAUAAUAUAUUGAACCGCAUGGUUCAAUAGUUAAAGACGGUUUUGCUGUCACUUAUAGAUGGAUCCGCUCCGCAUUAGCUAGUUGGUAAGGUAACGGCUUACCAAGGCAACGAUGCGUAGCCGACCUGAGAGGGUGAUCGGCCACACUGGAACUGAGACACGGUCCAGACUCCUACGGGAGGCAGCAGUAGGGAAUCUUCCGCAAUGGGCGAAAGCCUGACGGAGCAACGCCGCGUGAGUGAUGAAGGUCUUCGGAUCGUAAAACUCUGUUAUUAGGGAAGAACAAAUGUGUAAGUAACUAUGCACGUCUUGACGGUACCUAAUCAGAAAGCCACGGCUAACUACGUG